UUUGAAUUAAAUUUAUGAUGUUUAAGUUAGUUAAGCUGAAUCGACUUAACAGGAAAAAGCUUUGUUAAGCCAGUUUAUGAAACGAGUUAUAAAAACAUGUUUUUUAAGUCGUUUGCGGUUAACUCGGAUACAAAACCAACUUAAAAUGUACAUUUUAACCGACUUAAAAUUUAAAAGAUAAAAUUCUACCACGAACUAAAAAAAUCCAUUACCAAGAGAAACCAUUUUCCAAAGACCAAUAACUUUCCAAAGUUUCUAUAGAUAUCGCGUAUGACUUCGAUUUUAAUUAGAACACCCCCUUGGACAGAAUGACCCGACCAUGUAGCAAAUUUGUGCAUGAUGCAAAACGAGUGAAAUAUUCAUUUUCUAAAAUGAAAACCACGAGAAGUUUACCCUUUAUACAAGGUUUGCGCACUGCACUGAGAGGAAAAUCAAAAGAGUUAUGAUGAGCUUGAGUGAAAUUUUUAUUGAAAUCCUGAAUAGAUGAAGUUGAAUGUAUGAUUGCAUCGUCAUAGAGAUCACAACGAAAGGGACAUAGGGGAAGAUGGCGUCUGAAUCCACUAGACCCAGAAAUUCGGACAUACGAUGGCAGACCCCGUCCAUAUAUUGUACAAACACCUAAUAAUGAUUUAAGUAUAGAAAGGGUUUUUGUUUAGUUCAAUGUUUCCUAAUAUGUAUUUCAUUGAAGUAUAAUGUUUGUUUUGAUCCUCAUUAUAGUACGAAAGGAUAAAAAAAGGAAAAAUAAAA
rnacentral:lncRNA from 1 species